AACCCAUGAUGUGGGCAACUUCUAAGCAACUCUUGGAAUCUUUCCUAGGCUUCUAAUAAAUUUUCUAGUUCAUUUUGAGCCAAAUUUUCAAUGUCCCUUUGAAGUU
rfam:Glycine max cultivar Williams 82 chromosome 1, whole genome shotgun sequence.